AUGCAUGGUCACUUUGAGAAACUCUAUGAAGAUUGGGCUACAUGGGUGCCAUGUUACUUCAAAUUCAGGUUCUUCCCUUUCCUUCAGUCAACGCAACACAACAAAGGGUUCAAUGUUGUGUUGAAGUGCUAUGUGAAGCCACACAAGUCAAUUCUCAACUUCGUCAAGCAAUAUGAGAAGAUUCGGGUACACAUACUCGUGAGGGAGGGCGGGAACGACUACCGGACAGAGCAUCUAGAGGCACAAAGAUGA
rnacentral:rRNA from 1 species